AUUGAACGCUGGCGGCAGGCCUAACACAUGCAAGUCGAGCGGAUGAAGGGAGCUUGCUCCUGGACUCAGCGGCGGACGGGUGAGUAAUGCCUAGGAAUCUGCCUGGUAGUGGGGGAUAACGUCCGGAAACGGGCGCUAAUACCGCAUACGUCCUGAGGGAGAAAGUGGGGGAUCUUCGGACCUCACGCUAUCAGAUGAGCCUAGGUCGGAUUAGCUAGUUGGUGGGGUAAAGGCCUACCAAGGCGACGAUCUGGAACUGGUCUGAGAGGAUGAGCAGUCACACUGGAACUGAGACACGGUCCAGACUCCUACGGGAGGCAGCAGUGGGGAAUAUUGGACGAUGGGCGAAAGCCUAAUCCAGCCAUGCCGCGUGUGUGAAGAAGGUCUUCGGAUUGUAAAGCACUUUAAGUUGGGAGGAAGGGCAGUAAGUUAAUACCUUGCUGUUUUGACGUUACCAACAGAAUAAGCACCGGCUAACUUCGUG
rnacentral:rRNA from 1 species